rnacentral:ncRNA from 2 species
GUGAAGAGCGCCAGCGCCAAGACCCGGCUCGCUGGCCAGCAACCCUUCGACGUGACGGGGUGCUCCGGGUGGUACCUGACCGCGACCCGUCGGGCGCGGUAAGC